rnacentral:tRNA from 1 species
GGGCCGUUAGCUCAAUGGUAGAGCAGCGGGCUUUUAACCCGACGGUUGCGAGUUCGAGUCUCGCGCGGCCCA